CAAUUUGGCAUUUCAAUUUAAAAACAAUCCAACUCAUGUGAUUUCAUGUUAUCUUACUGAACCGAUUUAUGAGAGUCAAUUUUAUAAUGCAGGUUUUAUUGACAUACUCGACUAGAUGAUUUAUUUAACCUGCAAUUCAGUUGCAAUUGACAAUCGACUUGUGGUGUUCUAAUUUAAGGAAGCUCGGUUUACCGAUUGCUAUGUUGUUGAAGCAGGUCCAUAUUGGUGCAUUGUUCACGGUUCCGCUGAGCUGAGGGCUUGCUGGGCCAGCGCUCUCCAAUCCGACGGGACUGGAUCAGGUCCAUAUUGGUGCAUUGUUCACGGUUCCGCUGAGCUGAGGGCUUGCUGGGCCAGCGCUCUCCAAUCCGACGGGACUGGAUGUGAGAUCUACUGCCCACGCCCUUGGCUUCCUCUGGUCUACAUUAGCAAUUCACACUUUGCCUACUGAUUUGCAAUGAAGUAUCAUACCCUACUCGGAUGUUUACGAUAAAUUAAGUGUAAUUUCAAUGCAAUGAUCACUAAAUGUUAUUUAGAUCAUUUGAGAAUGUGCCCUGUGAUCAAAAGCUAUCUUGUUUGAUUCCCUCAUAUGUUAGAUGUUGAAACGAAGUUGAAACUCAGACCUUUGGUUUGUUAUUGCUCUGAGUCCUUUAAACAAAAGAUAUUUCAUCGAAUCUA